rnacentral:rRNA from 1 species
UACGAAGGGGGCUAGCGUUGCUCGGAAUCACUGGGCGUAAAGGGUGCGUAGGCGGGUCUUUAAGUCAGGGGUGAAAUCCUGGAGCUCAACUCCAGAACUGCCUUUGAUACUGAAGAUCUUGAGUUCGGGAGAGGUGAGUGGAACUGCGAGUGUAGAGGUGAAAUUCGUAGAUAUUCGCAAGAACACCAGUGGCGAAGGCGGCUCACUGGCCCGGUAUUGACACUGAGGCGCGAAAGCCAGGGGAGCAAACGGG